GAUGAACGCUGGCGGCGUGCCUAAUACAUGCAAGUCGAGCGAACAGACGAGGAGCUUGCUCCUUCGACGUUAGCGGCGGACGGGUGAGUAACACGUAGGUAACCUACCUAUAAGACUGGGAUAACUUCGGGAAACCGGAGCUAAUACCGGAUAAUAUUUCGAACCGCAUGGUUCGAUAGUGAAAGAUGGCUUUGCUAUCACUUAUAGAUGGACCUUCGCCGUAUUAGCUAGUUGGUAAGGUAACGGCUUACCAAGGCAACGAUACGUAGCCGACCUGAGAGGGUGAGAGGCCACACUGGAACUGAGACACGGUCCAGACUCCUACGGGAGGCAGCAGUAGGGAAUCUUCCGCAAUGGGCGAAAGCCUGACGGAGCAACGCCGCGUGAGUGAUGAAGGUCUUCGGAUCGUAAAACUCUGUUAUUAGGGAAGAACAAACGUGUAAGUAACUGUGCACGUCUUGACGGUACCUAAUCAGAAAGCCACGGCUAACUACGUG
rnacentral:rRNA from 1 species